rnacentral:rRNA from 1 species
GACUUGUGGCUGGGGGUGAAAGGCCAAUCAAACCGGGAGAUAGCUGGUUCUCCCCGAAAGCUAUUUAGGUAGCGCCUCGUGAAUUCAUCUUCGGGGGUAGAGCACUGUUUCGGCUAGGGGGUCAUCCCGACUUACCAACCCGAUGCAAACUACGAAUACCGAAGAAUGUUAUCACGGGAGACACACGGCGGGUGCUAACGUCCGUCGUGAAGAGGGAAACAACCCAGACCGCCAGCUAAGGUCCCAAAGUCAUGGUUAAGUGGGAAACGAUGUGGGAAGGCACAGACAGCCAGGAUGUUGGCUUAGAAGCAGCCAUCAUUUAAAGAAAGCGUAAUAGCUCACUGGUCGAGUCGGCCUGCGCGGAAGAUGUAACGGGGCUAAACCAUGCACCGAAGCUGCGGCAGCGACACUAUGUGUUGUUGGGUAGGGGAGCGUUCUGUAAGCCUGCGAAGGUGUGCUGUGAGGCAUGCUGGAGGUAUCAGAAGUGCGAAUGCUGACAUAAGUAACGAUAAAGCGGGUGAAAAGCCCGCUCGCCGGAAGACCA